rnacentral:rRNA from 1 species
ACGGUAACAGGGGAGCUUGCUCCCGCUGACGAGUGGCGAACGGGUGAGUAAUGCAUCGGAACGUGCCGAAUAGUGGGGGAUAACGCACCGAAAGGUGUGCUAAUACCGCAUACGCCCUGAGGGGGAAAGUGGGGGACCGCAAGGCCUCACGCUAAUUGAGCGGCCGAUGUCGGAUUAGCUAGUUGGUGGGGUAAAGGCUCACCAAGGCGACGAUCCGUAGCGGGUCUGAGAGGAUGAUCCGCCACACUGGGACUGAGACACGGCCCAGACUCCUACGGGAGGCAGCAGUGGGGAAUUUUGGACAAUGGGGGAAACCCUGAUCCAGCCAUGCCGCGUGUCUGAAGAAGGCCUUCGGGUUGUAAAGGACUUUUGUCCGGGAGGAAACCCUGAUCGUUAAUAGCGGUCGGGACUGACAGUACCGGAAGAAUAAGCACCGGCUAACUACGUGCCAGCAGCCGCGGUAAUACGUAGGGUGCAAGCGUUAAUCGGAAUUACUGGGCGUAAAGCGUGCGCAGGCGGUGAGAUAA